ACCUGGCUAGCUCAGUUGGUAGAGCAUGGGCCUCAGGAUCAUGGGUUUGUACCCCAUGCUGGGUG